GUUUGAAGCAAAUUAUGCAGUUUUUAAUGCAAUGUAGGUACAAAGAAGAUACACUCUCGUAUGGGAGGAGAACAUAACUCGAGAUUAUAUUCACAUAAAUAUAAUUGCGAUUAGUGCAACAUUUUUGACGCACGCACUGCUCUGAAACAUUUCGAUUGGACUCCAAACCUAUGAUACUAGUUUCAGUUGUAUCUUGGUACUGAACAACGAUAAUCUUUCGGGGCAUUGAGAAUUUGUACAUUAUUAUCUUCCAGUUUAUGUAAAAAAACUAAAUUAAAGCACUUAUAUUCGGGCAAAGGUCAAUUAAAUGUGCCUUAAUCGGACAGAUACGCUUGACACUCUGUUUCUUAAUCGAAACUGCACGCGUCCGCUUAGAUAUUUAUCAUCACUUAUCGCGUCAAUUGAAGUUCAACUUUAAAAGUUCAAAUUACACAGUUUGAAGAAUAGACCUACCCACAUUACCCUGUAUAACGUUGUAUACAUUACAGCUAAUUUUUACAUCUACCAUGUUCGUUACCUGUUUUAAUAACGGCGACUUUAAUCGGGAAGAAUUGCAAAUUUUUCGGUGCGCAUUGAACUCAUAAUCGUGUUUUAAUAGAAUGCACUGCUGAACUAAGAAGAUCUGAGAAAACCAUGCUCAAAAAAUGUGAAUGCUAUCUAGUCAAGUAGAGGGGUUAUCAGUGUAGAUGAACGUCUGUACGAGAAGCUGUCUGUAUAAUUUGUGAUGCCUGACCUGGAUUCGUUUCCCUUCUUUGGUAUGACGGUCAAUGCUGCAGGAACGUACACAACGGCAGCUACUAAUGCCAAGGAAAAGUUGUGCAUUGAAAUGCAUAAAAGCAUUGUUGCCAAUUCUAUUAAUGCUAUCACAUAAAGUAAGGACGCAGUUUCGUAGGU